UCGCAGCCGCGCUCCGGUCUGCGAUAGAGGCUCGGCGGCGGCUCCACCGGAAACGAACCGGCCGCAGCCAAUCAGCGCUCGGCUGUGACGUCAAUGCGCCUCGCUUUGGCCAGCGAGGUCGCCUUGGCAACCUUAAAGGUGAGCUCUGAACAAUGCCUAUGGCAAACUAGCGGAGUACACAGCACAUUUCUGGGAUCUGACGUGGACACCAUCGCAGAACCGUAGACACCAGAAGUAUUUUACCACUUUUAUUCUCCCUUGUUUGAUUGGCUGUCCUUUUCCUGUCUGGUUGGAUGUCAUCUUGUUUUGCUUUGUAUUUUGUGGUGGUUUAUGUUUUGUGGGGUUUUUUCCCUCUCUUAUUGUGGUCUCUUUUUCAUUUUCCAUUUCUUCCUCCUUUUUUCACAGUGUAGGUUUCUUAUCUUUCUUUUUCAUUUUCUUUUAUUUAUUCACUUUCUCACUUUUUUCAACUACAUCUUGAGUUUAACCUUUGGAGUAAACACUGUCUCUUCCCUUUGUGAUUACUCUUUUGUCUCAUUCUUUCCCUCCUGUGUCCUCCAUUCAAGAAAAAAAAUGGGAUCCAUGAAUCAGAGUCAAACCAUCCAAGAGAUUUAAAACCAUCACUGAAAAAUAUGCAACAGAUUAAAUAAGGAGAGGAAAAAUGAUCAGAUCUUGAAGACAGAAUUGCAACUAGAGAUCAUGAAAAGAAACAUAUCUUAAAAAUAGCAAAAGAUGACGAAAAAUCAAAAAAUUCUUCACAGAAAUAAUGGCCGAAAAUUUUCUAAGCAUGGAUAGAGAAUUUGACAUACAAAUAAAUGAAGCAUAUAGAACUUCAAACAGCCAUGACCAAAAUAAAACUACACCAAAUCAUAUAAUAAUCAAGAUUCCAGACAUUCAGCACAAAAACAGAAUAUUAAAAGCUGUUAAAGAAAACAAAUAGAUCACCCAUAAAGGACAACCCAUCAGAAUCAUGGCAGACUUCUCAAAACAAACCCUCAAGUUAAUAUGAGCUUGGAACAAAAUAUUUCAAGUCCUGAAAGAAAACAGCUUCCAACCUAAAUUUCUGACCCUGAAAAAAUAUCUUUCAAAAUUAAUGGAGAAAUGGGAUACUUCCAUGACAAAGAACAACUGAAGAAAUUUAUGACCACCGUUUAAACCGACCCUAUGAAGAAUGCUGAAAGAUAUUCCAGACAGAGAUAAAAAUCAUCACAAUUCCAAAAACAACCCAAGAAAGAAACCACCAUCAGGGCAAGCAGUUUAACAGAGGGGAAAAUCAGGGAACCAACAGCAGAAAAAUUUCAUGACAAAGAUAAGCCAGUGAAUAGCAGUUAUAACCAUCAGUGUAAAUGGCCUCAAUUCAGCAAUCAAAAGAAACAUCUUGGCACAAUGGAUCACGAAAUAAUAUUCAACAAUAUACAAGAAACACGUUUAACUCAAAAAGAAACUCAUAUACUCAACGUCAAAGAAUGGAAAACAAUCCUCCAUGCAACAAGAAACCAGAAAAUAGCAGGGGUGGCUAUUCAGUUAGCAGACAAUGUGAACUUCAAACAAGGAAUGAUCAAAAGAGAUAAAGAAGGUCACUAUGUACUUCUUAGGGAAAAAUUUCAAGGAGAAAAGAUAACAAUCAUAAAUAUAUAUACACCAAAUAUAGGAGCACCCAAUUAUAUAAGACAAUUAUUAAUAGGUAUGAAAAAUCAAAUAGGUGAUAACACAGUUGUAACAAGAAAUGUUAAUAGCCCAUUGUUACCAAGAGAUAGAUCAACUAGACAAAAAAAAUCAGCAAAGAGAUACCAGAAGUAAGCCAAAUUGGUGAACAAAUGGACUUAGUAACUAUGUCUUCAGUGUUCCAUCCAACAUCAUCAGAAUACACAUUAUUCUUGGCUGCACAUGGGACAUUCUCUAGACUAUUCCAUAUACUAGCCCACAGAACAUACUUAAGUAAAUGCAAAUGAAUUAAAAUGAUCUCAUAUAUUAUCUGACCACAGUGCAAUGAAAUUAGAAAUUAAUGGCAAAAGAAACCACAAAAACAGCAUUAACCCAUGGAAAUUAAAUAGCACCCCCCAAAACAACCAGUAGGUCACAGAAAAAUUGAAGAAGAAAUUAAACAAUAUGUACAACUAAUAAGAAAGUAGGUACAACAUACCAAAAACUUAUGAGACAAAAUGAAAGAAAUCAUAAGAGGAAAAUUUAUAGCUGAGAAUUCUCACAUCAGGAAAACAGGAGAAGCACAAAUAAACAAUCUAAUGUUGCACUUCAGGCUUCUAGGGAAAAAAAAAGAACAAAACAAGCCCAAAGCCCAUACAAGGGAGGAGAGUAUAAAGAUCAGAGCAGAAAUUACUACAGUGGAGACUAAGAAAGCAAUACAAAGAAUUAAUGAUUUGAAGAGUUGGCUCUUUAAAAGAAUAGAUAAAAUUGGUAAACUGUUAACCAACCUUAUCCAAAAACAGAAAGAAAAAACUCAAAAGUCAAGCACUGAGGAAUUAAAACUGUGAAAUCACUUCAGAUCCUGUGGAAAUGUAGAAGAUCAUCAAUACCUAUUUUGAAAACCAUUAGUCCCAUUGGAUAGAAAACACAGAAGACAUGGACAGAUUCUUAUAUACAUAUGAAGUACAAAUGCUGUAUCAAGAAGAUACAAAAAUUCUGAAUAACCCAGUAUCAGUUAAUGAGAAAAUUUUACCAGCAAACAAAAUUCCAGGUCCUGUUGGAUUCACUGCUGAAUUUUACAAGAAUUUUAGAGAAAAUUUCAUGCCACUAUGCCACAAACUCUUUAAUAAAGUAAAGGAAGUAAUACUCCCUAAUUCAUUCCUAAAGGUAGGUAGGUAUUCCCCUGAUACCAAAACCAGAGAAAAAGGAGAUCUACAGGCCAAUCUCCCUAAUGAACAUAGAUGCAAAAAUCUUCAAGAAGAUACCAGCAAACAGAAUGCAACAAAUCAUCAAGAAGAUUAUCCAGCAUGACCAAGUAGGCUUCAUCACAGGAAUGCAGGAAUGGUUCAAUAUGCACAAAUCAAUAAAUGUAAUACACCAUAUCAAUAGAACCAAAGACAAAAAUCACAUGAUCAUCUCAAUAAAUACAUAAAAAAACCUUUUGAUAAAGUCCAACAAUCAUUCAUGAUAAAAAAAAACCCACAGAAAAUUGGAAUAGAUGGUAUUUACCUCAAUCUGAUAAAAAGCCAUCUAUCACAGACCAACAGCCAACAUCAUACUAAAUGGCCAAAAACUGAAAGCUUUCACUCUAAAAUCAGGAACAAGACAAGGAUGCCCACUAUCACCAUUCCUACUCAAUAUAGUACUGGGAACAUUAACCAUAGCAAUUAGACAAGAGACAGAAAUAAAAAGGAUAAAGUAAGGGAAGGAAAAAGUUAAAUUCUCAUUGUUUACAGAUAAUACACUAUAUAGAAGAUCCCAAAAACUCCACCAAAAAGCUUCUAGAUUUAAUAAGCAAAUUCAGUAACAUACCUGGAUAUGAAGCCAGCACACAGAAAUCAAUAGCAUUCCUCAAGAAACUCACUGAGAGAGAAAUUAGGGAAACCAUACCCUUCACAGUAGCAUCCAGUAAAAUUUGUAAUCUAAAAACGGAAGUAACAGAUUUAUACAUUGAAAAUUACAUUAUUCUACAAAAGGAGAUUGAAGAGGAUAUCAGAAAAUAGAAAUAUAGUCCUUGCUCAUGGAAGGACCAACAUAGUGAAAAUUGUCAUUCUCCAAAAAUUGUUAUACAGAUUUAAGACAAUUCCAAUAAAAAUUUCCAAUCAAAAUUAGCAUAUCUCAUACAACUAGAGAAAACAUGCUUUUUUUUUUCAAAUUGGUACUGAGUAUCGAACUCAGGACCGCCUGCUUGCAAGGCAGGUGCUUAUGCUGCUGAGCUAAAUCCCCAGCCCUAGAGAAAACAUUCUUAAAAUUUGUUUGGAAACAGAAGACUAAAAUAACAAAAGCAGCUCUGGGCAACAAAGGCAAGGCAAGAAUCAUAACAAUCCCUGACUUAAAAUUAUACUACAAAGCUGCUGUGAUAAAAUCAGCAUGGUGCUGGAAAAAAAAACAGACCUAGGAUCAGUGGAACAUACUAGAAGAUGCAGACACAACUACAAACACACUCAGCCACCUUAUCUUUGACAAAGGGGCUAAGCAUGUUCACUGGGAGAGAAAUAACCUCUUUAAUAAAUAGUGCUGGAAAAACUGGCUCUCCACAUGCCAAAGAUCAAAAGGAGAAUCAUGUCUAUCACUACACACUAAAGUCAAAAUGAAUCAAAACGCUAAAUAUUAAAACAGAAACACUAAAUACACUGAAAGAGAAAGUACAUAGAAAUCUUGAAGACAUAGGUAUAGGCAGAGAGUUUAUGAACAAAACCCAACCAACAUGGGAAAUACUUCAAAGAAUCGAUAAUUGGGAUCUCAUUAUUAAAACGCUCUUGCCCAUCAAAAGAAAUCACCAACAGUGUGAAAAGAUAACCCACAGAGUGGAAAAAAAUUUUAGCCACCUGUUCCUCAGACAAAGGAGUUAUAUUUAAAACAUGAAAAACUGAAAAAAUCAGACCUCCCCGCAAUUCAAAGAUCCAAACCAAAAAUGAGCAUCUGAGAUGACUAUGCACUUCUCACGUGAAGACAUACAAAUAAUAAAUAAAUAUAUGAAGAAAUGUUCAACUUCACUGUAACUCAAGAGAUGCAAAUUGAAACAACACUGAGAUUCCAUCUCACUCCAGUAAGUAUAGUUAUCAAGAAAUUAACAAAUGCUGGAGGAGCUAGAGGGGGAAAGGAACCCUUCUCCACUGCUGUUGAGUGUGUAGCCUGGGGCAGCCACUGUGGAAAUCAAUGUGGAGAUUCCUCAAAAAAAAAAAAAAAAAAAAAAAAAAAAAAAAAAAAAAAAGACAGUGGUUGCAUUCAAUCCAGCCAUUCUCCUUCUGAGUAUUUUCCCAAAAUAAUUAAAAAUAUCAUAUGUGCAUCUGUGUUUAUAGAAGCACAAUUUGUAAUAACUAAAUCUUGGAAACAACACAAAUGCCUGUCAACCAAGGUGUGGAUAAUAACAAUGUAUUUUUUAUACAAUAAAGUGCUACUUAGCCAUAUGGAAGGACAAACUUGAGAUGGCAGAUGGAUGCAACUUGAGACCAUACUCAUAAGUGAAAUAAAUCAGACUCUCCUGUAUAAACAUCAUGUUCUCCCUGGUGUAAGAAGCUGAAAGAGUAAGUGAGAUCCAAAAUGUACAAGAUAUAUUGUGAAAUGGGAGGAAACUAUUCAAAAGGAAAGAAAAAACCGGGAUGGGGAAAAGGAGAAAAGAAAGGGAAAAGAAAAAGUAAAUUAAAAAUAUACACAUGAUAGUUACACUGUUAAUCGCUAUUAGUUCGUUGAAAGGAAAGGUUUGUACUUAUGUUUUUGAUCAAUUUUUCAUUCCUAUGUCUUGUAAUCUGAGCAGCUGCUUUGAAGAUAACAAUAUACAAUGUAUUAACCAUGGUUACUCUCCUACUAGCUUGUUUUGAAAUUUUGUAUCAUUUUUGUUGCCGUUUCUCUUUAAAAAAUUGAACAUUAACAAGUUAUUAUUAUUUGUUUAUAUGAAAUGGCCCUCCUUUGCAGUUUGUAACUUUAUGCCAUGCUCAUGCAACACUGUUAUCCUUAUUAUGUUUUCUAAGUAUAAAAACUUUGAGCACAUACAAGGCCUUGAAAAUGCCAAGCCCAAGUUCUAUCACUGACUCAUAUCCUCAGCCCCCAAAAUAAGAUAUUUUUAAGGAAAAAGCCAUGUAUUUUUAGUGCCUUUUGUUUCACUUUUUCUUCUUUUGGACAAGGGAUUCUACAUUUCCAUUUUGAACCAGACUCUGUACAUUGUGACCUUGGUUGGAAGUUUAUGAUGUUGUAAAAUCUUGCAGACACAUCCCAGCAUGCCUCGAGCAGAGAGGGCAGGCAAAUGUUCAUUUGGGGGAGGAGGGAUUUGGCCUGGGACCCCUAGAAUGUGUUAGAGAAGGAGAUAAAUGAGCAUCAAGCCCACACCUGCCUUCUGCAGAGUAGGGUGAGAGAGGGCAGCGAUGGGGAAGGCUGCUCCAGCCAGGCAAGGCGUGGACCCAGAGCUCCCAGAGUAUUAGAAGCUGACAAGUCAACAAAGCUUAGGCCACACUGAAGGACCCCAAAUGCCACCUGCCAGGGCACCAGAAGUGGCCUGAAAGCACUGGGGCAGAAGCAGAUAGGAGAGCACAAGGGUCUGCUGGUGACCACCUCACCCUAUGAGAAAUGAGGGGGUGCAGAGAGGUUUGUGGGAGCCCUUGGAAGUGGGUCCCCAGGAUAGCCAGGCCCCUAGAAGCAUUUGGACAACAGCCUUGAUGGAAGAGCAUCAGUAAGAAAGGACGACAGAGCUGUCACUGGCGAAAACCUCACAUCUUUCCUUUUUAUCCCCUGUCUGUCCCCCACUCAGGGAAAAUGGAAGUGGAGGGGACAGGGAAAGAGAACAGAGUGGAGGGAGGAGCUCAGUAGUUUCCAGCUGGUUUUGAGAGAGAAGUUUUAAUCAUAUACAUGGCUAUAUUGUUCUGCUCUCUGGAAGGGCUUGAAAAGCUGGAGUCUUUGUCCACACCACACAGAUACUGAGAGAUAUAUAUGAGGUGAAAACGGUUACACCACAGAAAAACAAACCAUCUCCCACUGGCCUCUGUGUUUAGGUCAGCAACCAGUUCUGUGUGCACAAUAAUACACAUUUCCUAAACGCAAAUGGCCUGUGGUGAUUAGGAUGGAGUAUCAACUUGACUGGCUUUGAGAUCUGCCCCCACGAUUUGUGGUGCACAUACUGGGUGGGUCAUGGGAACGUGGCCAUGAUGUCUAUGUCUAGCCCUGCCGUCUUCCUCUUUGCCCUGCCCUACUUGCCAGCUACCAUGUCCCUCUGCCAUGAUGGUUCUGCCUGCUGGCCCUGGAUUAAUCCCCUUAGACUAUGAGUCAGAUUAAACCUCUCCUUCGAGUUGUGGGUGUUGGGUAUCAUGUUCAGCAUGGCCAUGCACGAUAAACCUUGUGCUGUGUUAUUUUUUCAUACAACAACUUAUCUUAGACAUGGUUCUAUAUUAGUUGCCAAUAGAGCUGCUUAUUUUUUUUUAUUUUUUUAAGCUUUUUUUUUUCUUUUGGUACCAGGGGUUGAACUCAUGACCUCAUGCUUGCCAAACAGGUGCUUAUACCAGUGAGCUAAGUCCUUGGCCCCUGCCUCUUUGUUUUAAUGACUGCAUCAUAUUUGCUAUGGUUUGAACAUCUUCACCUCAUACUGAAAUUUAAUCUCCACUUUGAGGUAUUUGGAACAGGUGGGACCUUUGGGAGGUAAUUAGAGUUGAGAGAAAUCACAAGGGUGGGUCCCUCAUGACAGCUUUCAUGGUUUUAUAAGAGGAAGAGAGACUCAAAUUGGCCAGCUUGACCCCUCUCUCACCAUGGAUGCCCUCUGCCAUGUUAAGAUGCAGCGGGAAAGUCUCACCAGAUGCAGAGUGGAAGCCAGCUCCAUGCUCCAGAUUCUUCAGCUAACAAAACUCCAGUCUUUAUAAAUUAUCCAGUCUAUGGUAUUCAGUGAUAAAAACAAAGCAGACAAAGACAGAAUGACAUCUAUAGAUGUACCACAAGGAAUGCAACCAAGAUACCUCCUUUUGCUAGAUAUUUAGCUGCCUUUCCAUCUUUUGAGUAGGUAUAUUCUUUUUCAAAUUUUCAGAAGCUGCACAGUAUGUGCUAUCACGACAGACUGAUCUAGAGGCAAAUCUGUGAACCCAGAUACCUGCUACUAAGCCACACAUUAAAGAGGUUUACGGAAUGCAAAAUAACGCAUUUCUCCAUCCUACUUUUGCUUGAUUAGAGUACUAAAAAAUUAAUGUUAAAUAUAAGUAUAUUAUUAUUAGUGAAUUAAUAAAUUUUUGGAUCUUCUCAUUUUUAAUUUCUAUUAAAUAAUGAUAGGUAUAUCCCAUAUAAACAAAAGGUAUUGGGAAUCUCAAUAAUAUUUAAGAGUGUAAAGGGAACCCGAAGGUUUGAGAGCCAUUACCGUAGUUAACUGACAUUUGGUAGUAACAUCAGUUAAAUUUGAGCAAUAUUGUUCAAAAUCAGCCAAAAAAGACACAUGAUAGGAAGAUAAUUUUCACGUGAAAUUUAAACUAUUGAUUCUAGUUUGUGGCAAACAACCACAAAUAUUUCUGGAACAACUGCCACCCAGCCAAGCAUUUCUCUAGGUGUUAGACGAAGACCAAGACCCCAUCUUAUGGAGCUUGUCUUUCGAAGGAGAAAACAGUAAACAUGUAAAUAAGUACACAAAAUAAUUUUGGGUUAUGAUCAUAGUUUUGAAGGAAAUACAAAGACUAAUGUGACAAGAAUUCUUGGGAGGACUUGCAUGCCUCACUUCAAAAGGACGUAAGAACCUAUAUUAGGAUAGGAUUGAGGAUCGGGUGAAUAGAGAAAAUGCAGUAACAUUCCACAACAGAAGUAGUCAAUACAUAAAGUGGAACACAGUAAGCAACGCAGACUUUGCUGCAGGACAAAUCUCUUUUUCUGCAAAUUUCUUUUUCUAAACCAUUCCCUGGCAGUCACUGAAGCAGGAGGCUUUCAAGAGUUCAGGAGAAAGACAGCCCAGCAGGAAUGCCAGCGGAAAUGUGUGCUGAUGUUUCCUGGAAUGAAACUCAGAAGCAGACAGAGCAUUCCAGAAAGUGAGGUCAGACAAGUAGCAUCUGCAGAUAGAGAAUGACUUAAACCCCACAAGUGGGAACAGAUCCCUGGGAGGAAGUGGAGAGAGAAGAGCCCGAGGAAGGAGCCACUUGAAAUAUUUUGAGCAUGUCUCAUCUGAUGUCUUGAACUUUCAAAAAGAAUUAGAAGCCCACUAAAAGACAGUUCUGACCUCAGUGGAGUAAUGAAGACUCCAGUCCACACCCACUUUUACCUAUGCAACAGUGAAAACAUUGUCAUGUUUUUGAAUCACACAGCAGCUUUCUAUUCUUUGUGCAUAUUUACAGUAAACAAGGAAAACGGGAGAUCAUGGGCAUAACAGGCACCAAAAUAAAUGGGACAUUUGGUUUUAGCCAAUAAACAUCUGCCAGUUCACAUUUCCAUUUAUAACAGAGAUGCUCACUCAUCAGCAAUGUGUGAUUUAGAGAUGGCGUGCACAGCUCAGCUUAUAAGCCAGCCUCCUUUCUGAUAAUGUUCCUAAAAAUUAAAGGAAUAGUCGAACGAACCAGUACAUUUCAUUCCAGUUCAUCACCAACUGACACGGUGGACCUUCUCCUACAUCUUCAGCUCCUACCUGUACUCCAACCACUUCUGCAUCUUGCAUGAAUCCACCCUCAACCCUGAUGCAGAGCCCAAAUACUUCCUGGACAUGUCCUUGGAGCUUUGCACUCAAAGGGACCCCAAAGCGGUUUGUCUUUCUGAAUUAUCUGUGUGAUUGGCUCCACUCUCCAUGCUAACAAGAACCCUGGGUGUACCUAAGCUCAGAUGCAAUGCUGUGUCUAUGUAUGUAUCUGCAUUAAGGGUUUUUGCAGGAGAAUAAAAGGUGAAAAUGCAAAGAUCAGGCCAGAAGGCAUCCCAAGAUCAACUCCAGUGUGGAUCCAUAGACCCAGUCCAUGGACUCCCACCUGAACUUCACAAAGAGUAGCCCUGCAUCAAGGCUGAACAAGCUGCUACGGAGUAAGAGGCUGUAUUGCCUUGGUGCCCAGAAUGUCCAAACCAGGCACGGGGGCAUUGACACGAUAGCACAGCUCUUUCUCAGUGAGAGUGCUGGGAAGCUCCCAUUUCUCACUUGACUUUGCUAGAACUGCAGGCAUUUCAUAUAACUUCAAUUCUUCACACCUAAGGAUGGCUACAGUCACUUGAAAAGCAAAAACAAAAAAUAACAAAUUUGGCAAACGUGGAGAACUGAAGCUCUUCUACAUUGCUAGGAGGGUGCAACAUGGUUCAGCUGCUAUGGAAAACAAUUUUCCAGUUACUCAAAAGUUAAAUACGGAAGUACCGCAUGACCCAGACUCCUUACUCCUAGGAUUCCUAAAAAUUUCCCGGAGAACAGCAAAGGGAUACUUACACAUAUGCAUGUUCUUAAUAUUUACUAAGGCUAAAAGGUGGAAACAAGCUAAAUGUCAGUUAGCUGAUGAGAGCAUACAGUCACGGCCUGUCCACUCAGUGGAAUAUUAUUCAGCCACAAAAGUGAAUGAAAUGCUGAUAUAUUUUAUUUAAAAAGACCUUUGAAACAUUCACUAAGGCAAAAGAAGCCUGACCCAAAAGGGGACAUGUUGUGUAACUCUAUUUUUACAAAAUCUCCAGUUAGAAACAAAAAGCAGAUUCUCAGUUGUGAGAAGCUGGUGUAGGAAGAACAGGCAGUGAGCACUUAAAGAUACAGGUUUUCUUGUGGAGGGAUAAAAACGUUUUGGAAAUAAAAGUGACAACUUUUAUUUAAAAGUGACAAGCA